rnacentral:rRNA from 1 species
GGGAGCGGCAGACGGGUGAGUAACGCGUGGGAAUCUACCCUUUUCUACGGAAUAACGCAGGGAAACUUGUGCUAAUACCGUAUGAGCCCUUCGGGGGAAAGAUUUAUCGGGAAAGGAUGAGCCCGCGUUGGAUUAGCUAGUUGGUGGGGUAAAGGCCUACCAAGGCGACGAUCCAUAGCUGGUCUGAGAGGAUGAUCAGCCACAUUGGGACUGAGACACGGCCCAAACUCCUACGGGAGGCAGCAGUGGGGAAUAUUGGACAAUGGGCGCAAGCCUGAUCCAGCCAUGCCGCGUGAGUGAUGAAGGCCCUAGGGUUGUAAAGCUCUUUCACCGGUGAAGAUAAUGACGGUAACCGGAGAAGAAGCCCCGGCUAACUUCGUGCCAGCAGCCGCGGUAAUACGAAGGGGGCUAGCGUUGUUCGGAAUUACUGGGCGUAAAGCGCACGUAGGCGGAUUGUUAAGUGAGGGGUGAAAUCCCAGGGCUCAACCCUGGAACUGCCUUUCAUACUGGCAAUCUAGAGUCCAGAAGAGGUGAGUGGAAUUCCGAGUGUAGAGGUGAAAUUCGUAGAUAUUCGGAGGAACACCAGUGGCGAAGGCGGCUCACUGGUCUGGAACUGACGCUGAGGUGC